CCUACGGGUGGCAGCAGUGAGGAAUAUUGGUCAAUGGGCGCGAGCCUGAACCAGCCAAGUAGCGUGAAGGAUGACUGCCCUACGGGUUGUAAACAUCUUUUAUAAAGGAAUAAAGUGAGGCACGAGUGCCUUUUUGGAUGUACUUUAUGAAUAAGGAUCGGCCAACUCCGUGCCAGCAGCCGCGGUAAUACGGAGGAUCCGAGCGUUAUCCGGAUUUAUUGGGUUUAAAGGGAGCGUAGAUGGGUUGUUAAGUCAGUUGUGAAAGUUUGCGGCUCAACCGUAAAAUUGCAAUUGAUACUGGCAGUCUUGAGUACAGUUGAGGUAGGCAGAAUUCGUGGUGUAGCGGUGAAAUGCUUAGAUAUCACGAAGAACUCCGAUUGCGAAGGCAGCUUACUAAACUGCCACUGACAUUGAUGCUCGAAAGUGUGGGUAUCAAACAGGAUUAGAUACCCCAGUAGUC
rnacentral:rRNA from 1 species